CAAUAGCGUAUAUUAAAGUUGUUGCAGUUAAAAAGCUCGUAGUUGGAUUUGUGGCGUACGGUGUGUUCCGGGCACUUGUUGUCUGAGUAACCUGCUGUUGCCAUCCUUGGGUGGAACCUGUGUGGCAUUAGGUUGUCGUGCAGGGGAUGCCCAUCAUUUACUGUGAAAAAAUUAGAAUGUUCAAAGCAGGCUUAUGCCGUUGAAUAUAUUAGCAUGGAAUAAUGAGAUAGGACUUUUUUGCUAUUUUGUUGGUUUGCGCAAAGAGGUAAUGAUUAAUAGGGACAGUUGGGGGUAUUCGUAUUCCAUUGUCAGAGGUGAAAUUCUUGGAUUUUUGGAAGACGAACUACUGCGAAAGCAUUUACCAAGGAUGUUUUCAUUAA
rnacentral:rRNA from 1 species